rnacentral:rRNA from 1 species
UACGUAGGGUGCAAGCGUUGUCCGGAAUUAUUGGGCGUAAAGAGCUUGUAGGCGGUUUGUCGCGUCUGCUGUGAAAUUUCGGGGCUCAACCCCGAACUUGCAGUGGGUACGGGCAGACUAGAGUGUGGUAGGGGAGACUGGAAUUCCUGGUGUAGCGGUGAAAUGCGCAGAUAUCAGGAGGAACACCGAUGGCGAAGGCAGGUCUCUGGGCCAUUCCUGACGCUGAGACGCGAAAGCUAGGGGAGCGAACAGG